rnacentral:lncRNA from 10 species
CGAAUACAAGGCAUAGUAGGGCCUCAACCCCUUCACACCAGCUCCUGGACUGCUGCAGAACAGACUUCCCUGGUGGUUUGAGGCUGGGGGCUGAGCUUUUCCUUCAACAUGGGAUCUUGAAGAACUUCCCAGCUACCCAAAGCCGCAAUUUCCUCCACCGCACACAGAAGCAGCUGACAACCCGGGGAUAGAUCCUUUUCCGUUCCACUGAAGCUUGCAGAGAAAAGCGGGCUGUGAGAAGCAAGGCCCCGGAGGGGAGGCAGACAGACCCUGAGCCGUGCAAAUUUGUGCAAAUGCCUGGAUUUGCCCCGAAGGCAGAGAGGGUGGGGAGCUUCAGAGACCAACAGGGGGAAAUUUGUACAUAGAGACAUGCAGAGAGAGGAGCUGAUGUGAAGGCAUGGAGAGAUUUUCAUCUACAAGCCAAGGAAUGCCUGAGCUACCAGAAGCCAAGAGAGAGGCAAGGAACAGAGUCUGCCUCACAGCCCUUAAAAGCAAACAACCCUGCUGACAUCUUACGUUUGAACUUCCAGCUUCCAGAACUGUGAGACAAUAAACUUCUGUUGUUUAAGCAACU